GACGAACGCUGGCGGCGUGCCUAAUACAUGCCAGUCGAGCGGACUUAAAAAGCUUGCUUUUUAAGUUAGCGGCGGACGGGUGAGUAACACGUGGGCAACCUGCCUGUAAGACUGGGAUAACUUCGGGAAACCGGAGCUAAUACCGGAUAAUCCUUUUCUACUCAUGUAGAAAAGCUGAAAGACGGUUUACGCUGUCACUUACAGAUGGGCCCGCGGCGCAUUAGCUAGUUGGUGAGGUAACGGCUCACCAAGGCGACGAUGCGUAGCCGACCUGAGAGGGUGAUCGGCCACACUGGGACUGAGACACGGCCCAGACUCCUACGGGAGGCAGCAGUAGGGAAUCUUCCGCAAUGGACGAAAGUCUGACGGAGCAACGCCGCGUGAGUGAUGAAGGUUUUCGGAUCGUAAAACUCUGUUGUUAGGGAAGAACAAGUACGAGAGUAACUGCUCGUACCUUGACGGUACCUAACCAGAAAGCCACGGCUAACUACGU
rnacentral:rRNA from 1 species